ensembl:lncRNA
AAGGCGGGGCGGGGGCUCCAGGCUGCCAGGUGGGUGCCGGGAAGUAGCAACUGUCGGUGCGCAGCUUCCGGAGCCCGCGGGGUGCACCUCUCCUGGAGGGCAGUAAGCCCGAGCGGGGUUUCGUUUUCGCCCUGUAGGAAAGCUCUGAAGAACUGACCACCCCUUUCUCUUGGACGUCCUAAGGCGUCAGACCUCAAGAUAGAUGAAGCUGCAUCACAUAGUGUGGCUGGUGCGCAGGACAGGUGAGCUCCGAGCAACACAGACCCUGCGGCUCUGCUCCGUCUGGGUUGGAUUCGCUCUCGUGGCUUCCUAGAUGGGCCUUCCUCCACUGCUGCACUGCGGAGAGGCCGGCAGGCGCCACUCCUCACCCACAGUAGUCUCCUUGCAAAAAGCUAGGCGCGCAGCCUGGCUGAGAGCCCAGAGCGUCACCUACCCACACCUGGCGUGGCCCUUCUGUAGGAGACGGGAUUGGCUUCUGCAAGGCCAAAACCUAUGUCCGACUUCCUCGAAGAGGAUCUCACUCAGCUGUCCUCACAAAGUUUGGAGCCAGAAAGUCCCAUGAUCGCAAGGAAAUUCACUGAACUUCGGUUUCGCUUACGAGGCAUUUUGAGAUUUUUCUUGCUUUGCCAGAGGAAGAGGAGAGGAACUGUAAAGAAUGCUUUUUAUUCCUGUGGAGUGGAAUAGUCUGUAUCCACAUUGAAGCUUUCUUCUCUCCUGUAUCCUGGAGUUGGUCAGAGUUGGUUCCUCGAAUGCGGCAGCACUACCAUCUCUCAGGUUGAAAUUUUGCCAUGCCUAGUGAUGAUCCCAGAGGGCUUGUCAGGAAGGCACAGGCUCCAGCACGCCUGCCUCUCAAGCAAGGUCCUGAGUUUGAUCCCCAGUACUGGAAAAAAAAAAAGUGCACAGGCUAAGCCGGGUGUGGUGAAUCAUGCCUGUUAUCCCAACAAUCUGAGAAGCUGAGGCAGGAGGAUGGCAAGUUCUAGCCCAGCCUGGGCAACUUACUGAUUCAACUCUGUCUCAAAAUAAAUAAAAAGGUUCCGGUAUGUAACUCAGUGUGAAGGCCCUGGAUUCAGCCAUCAGUACUGGGUGGGGGAGCCACAUUCCAGAGCUAUGAAUCACUAAAUGUGGUUUUUAUGUCUACCUACCAAUAAAUGUUUUGAAUGAAUCUUAUCAAAGUGAGGGAGGAAAUUCAGACAAAUCCAGAUUGGGAGAUAUUCUAGAAAACAGCUCCAGUGGACUUUUAAAAAACUCAAUAAAAAUCCAAAAAAGCCAGGGAAUCCAUCCUGAAAAAGGGAUACCACAUCCAGGUCUAUCAGCUGACCCCUUGAUCCAGCACUGGUUGAAGCAGGAAGUUAUGACCUUUGAAGGACAAUUGGAGAACUUUGUGUGUGGAUGUCCUAUACAUUGGAGAAUGUUACUGAAUCAUUGUUAGUUUUUGCUUUCCUAUAGUUCACAAGAAUGUCCUUAUUCUUAAGAGAUGCUUACUGAAUCAUUGAAAGUCGAAAGUUCUAGUGACUACUUUCAAAUGGCUCAGAAAUUAAUAUGUUGCCAGGCGUGGUUGCACAUGCCUGUAAUCUCAGCACUUGGGAAGCUGAGGCAGGAGGAUCACUACAAGUUGGAGGCCGGCCUGGGCUACAAUAGUGACUUCAAGACCAGAACUACAUAGCAAGAUCCUGUCUGAAAAAACAAAACAGGGCCGGGGAUUUAGCUCAGUGGUUCUGCGGCCUGCCUCACAAGCUCAAGGUCCCAAGUUUGAUCCCUGGUACCAAAAAAAAAAAAGAAAGAAAGAAAGAAAUGCAUCAUAUACAGUACAUUACAUUCCAGGAUAGGUUCAAGCCCUGGGCAGAUAGGGAGUCUUGAAGGUAGAUAGCAAGGAGUCCAGCUCAACGAAGAAUUCCAUGAGGACGGGAGGUGAGAAGUAGCUAGAGUCAGCUGGAAAGAAAGGAAGGAGCCCUACCUUGGAGACCAAUUUGUAGGCUAGAUCCACCUUCUGUGUUAAACUUUGUCACCAGUGGACACAGGGGCCACUCUUGACACCAAAGGCACUUGAGGCCACUUUGGGGCUCAGAGGAGCUGAAGGGAGUCAGCAAGUCUGCCAAACAAAGAUCCCAAGAGUUGAGCAAUCUCCUGAAUGCAACAAUUUAUUGAGCAUUUACCACAUUCAUAGAAAGAGAGAAGGGAUCUCACCCAGACAUAAGCUAGGAGCUGGAGGUGGCACUGACAGUGCAGGACUUUCUUCCACCUGGCCUACACACUGUGUGAACACCGUGGGCCCAACAGGCAGCACUGGAACUCAGCGAUCUGCAGGCUGAGCACUGGAACUCAUGGCGAUCCAGAGACCAGUACAGCCAGGGAGCCAAGUGGGGAAUCCGGAUGGGCAGAGUGAUGGUCACAGACUGUUGCAGAGCUCAAGCAGCAGCUCCUCAAAGAGCAAUAUGAGGGCAGAGUCCAUAAGCAUUAAGCCAGAAGACCAAGCCCAAGAGCAGCUCAAGACUUCAUCUUUUAUGCUGUGGGGAAGUUGGUGCAAACAACAUGUGUUAAUCUUGACAGUAAAAAUAUAUUUUUUAGAAAACAUUUUUAUAAGUUUCUCAAAAGGGGUUCACAAAGUAAGAUUUUAGCAUGCAGGCCAUAUGGUUAUCACACAAUAGGGUUGACACUCAAGCACAGUGGUUGUGUGGUUAUCACAUGGGUCAGAAAGCUCAGACUCAGAAAGUAAGUUUGAAACAAGACAGAAGCAAAGGAUGGCUUCUGUCCUGCUCACAUUACACUUUAAUCUAGGUCCAGGAUAUCCUGGUCUAAGUGGAGAAGGAGAAGUAACAAAGUAACCCAUAGUAAGUCCCCUGACCUAUACUCAGAAGUCUUAAGCAACCUUUGUCCACUCUGUCCACACCAUAAUCAUCAUGUCAUUACCAAUGCUGUUUUAACCACUCCCCGCCACCAUUCCUGUGGGUUUGGGGCACCAUGAAAGUUUCUCCAAGGGCCAUAAAAAGUCAAAAACUGCCACUAAUUGGGAGGGCAGAAUCAAACCUCUCAUUGGCAAGAGCAACCUUUAGACCAACCCCUCAGUCCCUGCCCAAUCCUUAGUGCUUAAAACCUUCACCACCAAGCCUCUUCAAGGCAGGACCUUUUCUCACGGGUCCACUUCCACCUUGUACUUUCAGUAAAUCUUUGAUCUUUCUGCUCCUUUUGAGUGCCCUGCUCAAUUCUUCAUUGAGACACCAAGAACCUAGAUAAGAUUCUUGACUCAGUAAGAGGGGGACAGAAAAUUAUUUUUUCUUCCCCUGCUCUAACCUAUUUUCUCUUCUGUCUUUGGAAGCUCAGCAGCAACAAAACUUCAGGGAGCAAAAGAGACCCCUCUCCUCCCAGCAGCCUGGACUCUCAAGAGCCACCUUCGCUUGGGGCUGGGAACAUGAUUCACUGAUAGAACAUUUGCCUAGAAUGCAUGAGGCCCUAGGUUCAAUCCCCAAAAUGGGGUGGGGGAGCCCUGCUCAUGGAUUGGAAGACAAAUCUGUGGAGAGAGUAGAUUAGUUGUUGCUUAGAACUGAGGUGAUAAGAAGAUUUGAAAGGUGAUGGCUAAGUGUUACAAAGUUUUUUUGGGGGUAAUAAAAUGUUCUAAAAUAGCUUGUGACAAUGGACGCACAACUAUGAAUAUACUAAAAGCCAUUGAGUUAGGAACUUCCAAUGGGUGAAUUGUAUAGUAC